UCACAGCAAGCUAGCCAACAUCCUCUUCACCCAGGAACUGGCCCGGAGACUAAAAGGUGGGCCUAGAGGAAAUGAAUGUGGAGACAUGAGUCAGAGAGAGGCAGGUAAAAGCCACAGGAAUGGAAACUGUUUCCAGAGCCCAUCACCUGGAGAGGACCUGCUUCCGUGGCUAUAAUUGGGUACAGUUUUAGCUCUGGCGUUACGACGUAUUCUGUACACCCUGGCACAGUCCAAUCUGAACUGGUUCGGCACUCAUCUUUCAUGAGAUGGAUGUGGUGGCUUUUCUCCUUUUUCAUCAAGACUCCUCAGCAGGGAGCCCAGACCAGCCUGCACUGUGCCUUAACAGAAGGUCUUGAGAUUCUAAGUGGGAAUCAUUUCAGAAGAAAAGAAGAAAUUGAUCAGGGAUUUUGAUGAAAAGCAACAGGAAGCAAAUGAAACGCUGGCAGAGAUGGAGGAGGAGCUACGUUAUGCACCCCUGUCUUUCCGAAACCCCAUGAU
rnacentral:lncRNA from 1 species